GUCCGGCCCGCCCGCAGGCCAGCUUCUCUCGGGAGCCUCCACCCAGGCGCAUGGCUCCAUGAAGCAAGAGGAGGAGGCAGAGCGCGAGAGAUCCCGUCCGCCCCAGCCGCGUCUGGGCCAGGAGAAAAGCAAAACCAUAUUCCUGCUGCUGUCAGUUUUGAUGCACUGAGAAAACUUCAGAGACCUAAGCUUUUUCCAGAGAAGAGAAGCUUUACUGGUGUUCCAGCCCUAAGUCUCGCUCUGUCGCUCAGGCUGGAGUGCAAUGGCGCGAUCUCGGCUCACUGCAAGCUCCGCCUCCUGGGUUCACUCCAUUCUCCUGCCUCAGCCUCCGGAGUAGCUGGGACUACAGGCACCCGCCACCGCGCCCAGCUAAUUUUUUUUUUUUUUAGUAGAGACGCGGUUUCACCGUGUUAGCCAGGAUGGUCUCGAUCUCCUGACCUCGUGAUCCGCUCGUCUCGGCUUCCCAAAGUGCUGAGAUUACAGGCUUGCAGGCGUGAGCCACCGCGCCCGGCCGAGUUAAAGUACUUUUUCUGGAACAAAGAAACUUAGCAUAAAUAGUUAAAAUAUUAAGAGUUGUAAUUAAGGGAAAUUUCAGCUCAAUAUGACUUCAACAGUUUAAAAAAUGUAUUAUUUCACAUAAGACCAUGGAGAGAGGAAUUGGAAGCCCCAGAAUUGAUUGGGUCAGAAAUUGAAAAUGAUACUAUCAGUGACCCAGGUUUGAAUGUCUCUCUCCACAGCAUUGACUUCACUAAUGGAUGUGACCUGGUUGGCAGCAGUAGCUUGCACAACAUGCUUGUUUGCAAAACUUAAAUCCUCAGUGUGACACAACUCAGUCCUUCUACUGCAGCAGCUCUUUUAUAAAAGCCUCCCAAAGCUCCAAGAAGGAACAAAGAAUGUGACCCAGUAAGCUCACACCAUAAGUCUAUAUUGCAGAAACCUUUGUUCAACAAAACUGCAGAUGCUCUGUUGAAUCCACUGGAGAUUGUCCUGAUACUAAGGACAAGUAUGCUCAUAUGACAUUAACAGACAAGACACUUUUCAGAAAGACAGGUUGUUCUUUUGGGCCACAUCUAAGAAAUCUUUGUCUAGCCAAAAGCCACAAAUAAUUUCUCAUUUUUUGGCUUCUGGAAGAUGUACAGUUAAAUGUUAUAUUUGGGACUGUUAUCUAAUUUGAUUAAAUUGCACUCUACAAUAUGA
rnacentral:lncRNA from 1 species